rnacentral:rRNA from 1 species
GACGAACGCUGGCGGCGUGCUUCAUACAUGCAAGUCGAACGAGAAGUUACCUUCGGGUGAUGGAAAGUGGCGGACGGGUGAGUAAUAUGUAGGAAAUCUGCCCUUAAGAGGGGGACAACAGAGGGAAACUUCUGCUAAUACCCCAUAUGAGCGUAGCUGAAAUGCUAUUCUUGAAAACUCCGGUGCUUAAGGAUGAGCCUGCAUCUGAUUAGCUAGUUGGCGGGGUAACGGCCCACCAAGGCGACGAUCAGUAGCCGACCUGAGAGGGUGACCGGCCACAUUGGGACUGAGACACGGCCCAAACUCCUACGGGAGGCAGCAGUGGGGAAUAUUGCACAAUGGGCGAAAGCCUGAUGCAGCGACGCCGCGUGAACGAGAAGAUUCGGUAUGUAAAGUUCUAUCAGCAGGGAAGAUAAUGACGGUACCUGACUAAGAAGCACCGGCUAAAUACGUG